rnacentral:ncRNA from 1 species
UUGGCAAACUUAUUGAAAAGUAAGGACGCAAAGCCAAGGGUCUAAUCCUCCUCGAAAGGAGGGAUGACAGCCGGUUGC